rnacentral:ncRNA from 1 species
CAUUGCCGGGUAGCUAAGUUCGAAAGAGAUAACCGCUGAAAGCAUCUAAGCGGGAAACUUGCCUUGAGAUGAGAUUUCCCAGGAACUUGAUUCCUUUGAAGGGUCGUUCGAGACCAGGACGUUGAUAGGCUGGGUGUGGAAGUGCAGUAAUGCAUUAAGCUAACCAGUACUAAUUGCCCGUAAGGCUUGUCCCU